rnacentral:rRNA from 1 species
AGAGUUUGAUCAUGGCUCAGGACGAACGCUGGCGGCGUGCCUAACACAUGCAAGUCGAGCGAUUCUCUUCGGAGAAGAGCGGCGGACGGGUGAGUAACGCGUGGGUAACCUGCCUCAUACACAUGGAUAACAUACCGAAAGGUAUGCUAAUACAAGAUGAUAUAAGAGAUUCGUAUGGAUUUCUUAUCAAAGCUCCGGCGGUAUGAGAUGGACCCGCGUCUGAUUAGCUAGUUGGUAAGGUAACGGCUUACCAAGGCGACGAUCAGUAGCCGACCUGAGAGGGUGAUCGGCCACAUUGGAACUGAGACACGGUCCAAACUCCUACGGGAGGCAGCAGUGGGGAAUAUUGCACAAUGGGCGAAAGCCUGAUGCAGCAACGCCGCGUGAGCGAUGAAGGCCUUCGGGUCGUAAAGCUCUGUCCUCAAGGAAGAUAAUGACGGUACUUGAGGAGGAAGCCCCGGCUAACUACGUGCCAGCAGCCGCGGUAAUACGUAGGGGGCUAGCGUUAUCCGGAUUUACUGGGCGUAAAGGGUGCGUAGGUGGUUUCCUAAGUCAGGAGUGAAAGGCUACGGCUCAACCGUAGUAAGCUCUUGAAACUGGGAAACUUGAGUGCAGGAGAGGAAAGUGGAAUUCCUAGUGUAGCGGUGAAAUGCGUAGAUAUUAGGAGGAACACCAGUAGCGAAGGCGGCUUUCUGGACUGUAACUGACACUGAGGCACGAAAGCGUGGGGAGCAAACAGGAUUAGAUACCCUGUAGUCCACGCCGUAAACGAUGAGUACUAGGUGUCGGGGGUUACCCCCCUCGGUGCCGCAGCUAACGCAUUAAGUACUCCGCCUGGGGAGUACGCUCGCAAGAGUGAAACUCAAAGGAAUUGACGG